UACGUAGGGGGCAAGCGUUGUCCGGAUUUAUUGGGCGUAAAGAGCGUGUAGGCGGCUUUACAGGUCCGUUGUGAAAACUCGAGGCUCAACCUCGAGACGCCGAUGGAAACCAUGUGGCUAGAGUCCGGAAGAGGAGAGUGGAAUUCCUGGUGUAGCGGUGAAAUGCGCAGAUAUCGGGAAGAACACCCGUGGCGAAGGCGGCUCUCUGGGACGGUACUGACGCUGACACGCGAAAGCGUGGGGAGCGAACAGG
rnacentral:rRNA from 1 species